CUUUCAUUCAUUUUUCUUAAAACACCAAUCUCCAUAGAUCUAAGAAAAAUCAAACACCAAAAUCACUUUCUUUUUUAAAUUCGCAAAAGUUCAGGUCAUCUUCACACCAAACAACUUACAUAAGCAUGUAGAUCUCUUCAAUAUCGAUUAUUGAUUUAAAUUUCAUGUCGAAUGUCUGGUGAGAAGUUUCACAACAAAUUUAUCGCCACUCAUUUCUACCAGUCAUCCAUCCGCCUACCUUAAAAUGGCCCCAACACUUACCACUUCUUCCCCUAACCAUCCUCUACAUGAACCCACAAAUAAUUUCCUUUUUUUCUUAACCAAACUUCAUAGAGCUGUCACUUUCUUUCUAAAAUUUAAAGGUUUAAGUAAUAUUCAUCCCACACAACGUACAUAGCUAUGUAAAUCUCUUCGAGAUCUAUCGAUUGAUACAAAUUACAAGCUAAAACGCCAACAAAAAGUGUUCUAUGAACUUUCUCAACAAAACCACUAACGACAUCAAACCACCACAACUUAGAGACCUAAUAAACAUCCUCUUUCCAUAUCCCCCAACAAAAGUUUUUUUUUUUUGGUUACAUGUCAAAAUUGCAGUGAUGUGUUUGGAUAGAGAGUCAAAGAUUCGGCGAUUACAUGAAAAAUCAAUUUUACCUACAACUUUUUCUCCAAUGCAAUUUUACUAGUAACAUGCCAAUACUAACAAAAAGGGGAAGACUUAUGUUCAGUACAACUUCAAAGGCUUGAUUCAAGUUGGCAAAUGAGGAGUCUCUUAAAAGCAAAGCUUGGGGAUACAUCUCUCAAGAAAACUUAGUAUGUUCUCAUAUGAUUCUAGGACAUAGUUAUGUUUAGUUUCCUUUUUCAAAAGACAUUGUAAUAGACUUUGGAUUUACUUUUAACUGAUAUACGGGCUGUGAUAUUAAGGUUUUUAUGUGUCUAAGAUGGCUAUGAAAAGACUUAGUUCAUUCUAAUAUUUCUAUAAAGAUUUGAACUAUCAUUGUGAAAA